AUACCAUUGUGAGGGUAUUUCCUAAGUAGCUCUUUGAAUCUUUCCCAAGCUUCAAAUAGUGAUUCUUCAUCUCCUUUCCUAAAUGAGGUGAUUUCAUUUCUCAUCUU